GACGAACGCUGGCGGCGUGCCUAAUACAUGCAAGUAGAACGCUGAAGGAGGAGCUUGCUUCUCUGGAUGAGUUGCGAACGGGUGAGUAACGCGUAUGUAACCUGCCUGGUAGCGUGGGCUAACUAUUGGAAACGCUAGCUAAUACCGCAUAAGAGUAGAUGUUGCAUGACCUUUGCUUAAAAGUUGCAAUUUCUUCACUACCAGCUGGACCUGCGUUGUAUUAGCUAGUUGGUGAGGUAAAGGCUCACCAAGGCGAAGAUACAUAGCCGACCUGAGAGGGGGAUGGGCAAAACUGGGAGUGAGAAAAGGCCCAGAAUACGACGGGAGGCAGCAGGAGGGAAACGGCGGAAAUGGACGGAAGUCAGAACGAGAAAGGCCGAGUGAGUGAAGAAGGGUGUCGGAUCGGAAAGCUCUGUUGUAAGAGAAGAAAGAGUGUGAGAGUGGAAAGUGCACAGUGUGACGGUAGCUUAAAAGAAAGGGACGGCUAACUACGUG
rnacentral:rRNA from 1 species